UGUAACAAUGGUUAUAAGUUCUAUGGCAUUGAGAACCUUGUUUGGGAUGGAAAGAUAUUCUCCCAAUUGAUGGCAGAAACUAGCUAACCUUAGAUGACCUUAAAAAAAAGCAAACCAGGGUAAGACCUGGCUAAUAUAUGGAUAGGAGUCAACCAGGAAAUCUUAACACUCUGAACUAAACUGGGAAGGUAAAAAAAAAUCCCAGAAGAGGGUAAUGGCAAUCUACUUCUGUACUGUUGUCAAGAAAAGAAUACGGACAGUUUAUAUUGACAUCAAGCUAUUUUAUCAGGAGGGAAGAAGGAAGGGAGGGCAGGAGUAAGGAAGGAAGGAAGGAAAAAAAGGGAGAAGAGACAAAAUGAAACCAAUAAAGCAAAUCCAUUUUAUUUGGAAGAACAUUAAAAAUGAACAGAAAAAAAGUGGGGGGGGGGGACAAGUGAAAGGAUGAACAAGGCACCACAACCUUAUACUACAUUAUUACACUUCAACAUUGUUGGAGGUCCAAAUCCAAUGGCACCCAUUUUUCAGAAUCUCAUUGCUUAUUCACCACAAGGGGCCAGUAGUGUGUUGACAGAGAGUUUUGGAUUUAUUCUAUAUUUUCUCUUUGUUUAUCUCUCUGUCUAUCCUGUCUAAGAGUGUGCUAAUCUGAGGUCACUUUCUUCUUUGCCUUUCAUGAUCCUAGAUACACAUACAUGAAACAACUACUCUUAGUGUCUCCUUUGGAUGGGGUAUAGCUACCUAGGGGCUGGGAAUUGUUUUUCCCCUCUGAUGAUUUUCCUUUAAAUAAACCCCUUAUCUAUAAUAAUUACAAAAUUUGCUUCUCUGAACAAUGUUCAAAUUGGAUAUUUACCCUCAGGACACAUAGGAUAUAUUAAUCUCCAACAAUUACCAGAUUACAGGCCAUUUCUUAAAGAAAUUGCAUUAUAUAAUUCCUUUGUUGUAAAUAAAAUGUGUGGGCAUGUACGGUCUAUUUUAUUAAUUGCUAUUUUGAUUUGUCUCUUCCCACUGCUGUUACACCCCUUAAGAGCCAUCCGUGCCUAUUACAGUUGCCUGUGUGAUGGGCAGAGUAAAUGCAAGGAAGAGAGCUUGGAGGCAAUCUCUGCUUUUAUCAGGAAGAAAAAAGACUCCAGAAUGUCAACAUCCUCCAAUUUCUCUGACUUAACUAUUGCUGUAUAAAAUAUCCUUCUUUGAAGAAAGACGCUUAGGAAGAUGACAUCCUGAAAUAAUAAAGAUAAACUGUAUGGAUGGUGUUUCUGGAAAACUUGGCUGAUUUACUUAGCUUUAAAGCUAAGACUACUUCCUCAGAUGUUGUGAAAUCAAGCAGACCAACUGAGUCUGGAGGACUGAAGCAACUUACAGCAGUGUAUAGUUCUAUCUAAGUCAGGGGUCUGCAAACUUGGCUCUUUUAAGACUUGUGGACUUCAACUCCAAG